ACUCCUACGGGAGGCAGCAGUAGGGAAUUUUCCGCAAUGGACGAAAGUCUGACGGAGCAAUGCCGCGUGAGUGAUGAAGGUUUUCGAAUUGUAAAGCUCUGUUGUAAGGGAAGAAUAGCAAGAAUAGGAAAUGAUUCUUGUCUGACGGUACUACAGAAGCACGGCUAACUACGUGCCAGCAGCCGCGGUAAUACGUAGGUGGCAAGCGUUAUCCGGAAUUAUUGGGCGUAAAGCGCAUGUAGGCGGCUUUUUAAGUCUGAUGUGAAAGCCAGUGGCUCAACCACUGAAUUGCAUUGGAUACUGGAAAGCUAGAAUCUUGGAGAGGUAAGUGGAAUUUCAUGUGUAGCGGUGGAAUGCGUAGAUAUAUGAAGGAACACCAAUGGCGAAGGCAGCUUACUGGACAAAGUAUUGACGCUGAGAUGCGAAAGUGUGGGUAGCAAACAGGAUUAGAU
rnacentral:rRNA from 1 species